rnacentral:lncRNA from 1 species
GGGAGUUGUGGGGGGGCCGGUCCCUCCUCAGGUGAAGCCGCUGAUGGAGAUGAAGCCGCCGCCGCCGCCGCCGCUGAGUGCACAAGUCCUGGCUCCGGCCUGGCUGUCGCCGCCUCAGUGACCCCACUGCCCCCGCACUGGGCCACCCGGGCCAGAGUGGGGGACCCCCGCCCCCCUCUUCCCCACCCUAAACAGCCUGCGCGCGCGCGGAGACGCCUCAGAUCAAGAAUUUACUUGACUCUGCUUCCAGGAAGAUUUGAUGCAUUACCAACCACUGUGUGUCCAGCUUUGCAUACCUUAUUUGGCCUCUUUCUUCUCUCCAUAAGCAAAAUUAUCUGUUCUGCAUAAGGAAGACAGGGAAUCACAAAGAACAAGAGAAAAGAUGUGCUUCAUCUGAGAUCUGAAAGGAGACAAUGAGGUGACAUUAUUUUCCUCCACCCAGAUGUUAUGUUUCUACCUUUUACCUUUUCUUAUUUUAGAGACUGGCCAUUCCUAGGAUAACUGGGAAUUCAUAUCCUCUGCUCUGCUCUUCAAGCAUUUGGAUAAUAAAGCUGAGCUGUCUUCAUCUGUAUUAUACA